UUUAGUUGUGUUCACCCGUUGUCAAACACGUAACCGUAUUCAAAAUGGCGGAAAUAGUACAAUGGAAAGAAAGCCGGAGUAAAACAUUAGUUAGUGACAUUCAACAGACCUACAUAAUUUAACCAGUUUAAGAUCGGUAUUAUAAUGUCUACGACCGGGACAGAAAAACAUUGCAGACUGUGUCUAAUGCUUAGCAAAGGAGGAACAAAGGCAUGCUAUCAUCUCCUAUUAAAACGUGUUGAAGAACUUAGUCCAGUCGAUCACCAACCAUACCCAUGGACGGUCCAACAAUUUUUGGAAAGUAAAAAGGAUGCAAUAAAAAAAUCGAAACUUUCAAAGGAAAAGUUUGAUGUCCUCUUUCCAAGACACGGUGUCACGGAACUUACAAAAUGGGAUUUAUCCCUUUUUUGCAAAGUUUUAACAUUAUACUGCAACUUAAAACUUUUAAUCCGACAAGAUAUAGAACAACUGUUAAGAAUGCGGAACGAUCUCUGUCACAUGAAUGAACCAAGCGUUACUGACGUACAGUUUAAGGAUUACUUGGAAACUAUACAAGUGACAGUGAGUCGAAUCAUGCAGGAUAUAAACAACCAAAUGGUAAAGUCUGAAAUAGAUAAGGACAUGGAUCAACUAGAAAAUGGACCUCUGGCGCUCAACGAAACGCUAAGGGAAAUGCGGACAUUCUAUUUAAUGGAAUUUGAUAUAAACAAAAAGUUGGAACAUGUAAUAGACGUAAAUGAAACUGUUUUGAAAAAAAAUCGAAAAGCUUGACGACAGACUGGAACUCAUUUAUAGCAGGCCCUGACUUGAAAGAUAGCUCAACACUAGUUGCAGCGAGAAACAAUUUCUUACUUCCCGGAUUGGAUAUUUUUCUGGAUCUCAAUAAUGUAAGUGAAGACGAAGAAACCAAAAUGUCUACCGUGUUAGAACAGUUGUUUGAGGAGGUGAUCAAUGGAGACAAUGAUUUCAGAUG